rnacentral:rRNA from 1 species
CUGAUCAUGGCUCAGAUUGAACGCUGGCGGGAUGCUUUACAUGCAAGUCGAACGGCAGCACGGACUUCGGUCUGGUGGCGAGUGGCGAACGGGAGUAAUGCAUCUGGAACGCCUAGUAGCGGGGAUAACUACGCGAAAGGUGCAGCUAAUACCGGCAUGCCUCCUUCGGGGGAAAGGGGACCUUCGGGCUUCAAAAUUAUUAUAGGGAGCGGCCGAUACGGAUUAGCUGAAGUUGGUGGCAACGGCUCACCACAUGGAUUUUGAUCUCGUAGCUGGUUUCCGAGAGGACGACCAGCCACACUGGGACUGAGAUACGGCCCGUAUCUACGGGAGGCAGCAGUGGGGAAUUCUUGACAAUGGGGAAACUGAUCCAGCCAUCCCGCGUGUGCGAUGAAGGCCUUCGGGUUGUAAAGAAUUUUUGGCAGGAAAGAAACGGCACGGGAUAAUACCCCGUGCAACUGACGGCAUCGCGAGAAUAAGCACCGGCUAACUACGCGCCAGCAGCCGCGGUAAUACGUAGGUGCAAGCGUUAAUCGGAAUUACUGGCGUAAAGGUGCGCAGGUAUGUCUGGAAAGAAAGAUGUGAAAUCCCGUAUUUAACUUUGGAACUGCAUUUAAAUUCAUCGAGCUAGAGUGUGUCAGAGGGAGGUGGAAUUCCGCGUGUAGCAGUGAAAUGCGUAGAUAUGCGGAGGAACGCCGAUGGCGAAGGCAGCCUCCUGGGAUAACACUGACGCUCAUGCACGAAAGCGUGGGGAGCAAACAGGAUUAGAUACCUCUGGUAGUCCAUACGCCCAAACGAUGUCAACUAUUGCUGGGCCUUCGGCCUGGCAGCGCAGCCAACGUGGGUAUAGCUGGACCGCCCGGGAGUACGGUCGCAAGAUAAAGAUUAAACUAAAGGAAUUGACGGGGACCCGCGUCAUGGGUGGAUGAUGUGGAUUAAUCGAUGCACCAAAAACCUUACCUACCUUGACAUGUCUGGAAUCCCGAAGAGAUUUGGGAGUGCUCGCAAGAGAACCGGAACACAGGUGCUGCAUGGCUGUCGUCAGUUCGUGUCGUGAGAUGUUGGGUUAAGUCCCGCAACGAGUGCAACCCUUGUCAUUAGUUGCUACGAAAGGGCACUCUAAUGAGACUGCCGGUGACAAACCGAGAAGGUGAUGAUGUCAAGUCCUCAUGGCCCUUAUGGGUAGGUCACACGUCAUACAAUGGUCGGGACAGAGUGGUCGCCAACCCGCGAGGGAGCCAAUCCCAGAAACCCGAUCGUAGUCCGGAUCGCAGUCUGCAACUCGACUGCGUGAAGUCGGAAUCGCUAGUAAUCGCGGAUCAGCAUGUCGCGGUGAAUACGUUCCCGGGUCUUGUACACACCGCCCGUCACACCAUGGAGUGGGUUUUACCAGGAAGUGAGUUAGCCUAACCGUAAGGAGGGCGAUUACCACGGUAGGAUUCAUGAUCGUAGCCGUAACAAGGCAG